rnacentral:lncRNA from 1 species
UCUCCCUCUGCCUGUGUCUCUGCCUCUCUCUCUCUCUCUCUCUCUCUGAGUCUCAUGAAUAAAUAAAAUCUUAAAAAAAAAAAAAAGCAUUGGUGUAUUCAUAUCAAAAUGAAAUUUUGUAGUAUUUUUAUUUUGUUUCUUAUUAUUUUUUUAAGAUUUUAUUUAUUUAUUUCACAGAUAGAAAGUAUGAGCGGGGGAGAGGAAGAGAGAAAAUGUUAAGUCGACUCCACACUAAGCACAGAGCCUGAUAUGGGGCUUGAUCUCACGACCCUGAGAUCACAACCUGAGCUGAAGUCAAGAGUUGAUCUCCCAACUAACAGAACCACCCAGGGGCUCCUGUAGUAUUUUUCUUUAAUCGAAAUUUGUUUGCUAGUUAAAUUUUCUCUAACAUUUUUCAUAAUUAUAUCAUGUUUGAUUUAACCAUGAAAGCUCUGUAACACCUGGAAUAUGUAUACAUAAUAUAAAUUCUACUUGAACAUCUUUUUUUUAAAAGAAAAUUAUACCACUUUAUGAGAUUGAGAAAUUUUUCAUCCUGUCCCAUUAGUGUUAUGAAGUGAAAUUAACAUGCUCCUGCCCCCAAAUCAUAAGUUGAAACCCUAAUUCCCAAUGUGAUGGUAUUAAGAGGUGGGAACUUUGGGAAAUAAGUUUAGACCGUGUUAUGAUGGUGGGAUCCUCUUAAUGGGAUUAGUGCCCUUAGAAGAAGAGGGAGAGAACCACGUGAAUACAUGAUAAGGCAGCACUCUAAACCAGGAAGUGGAGCUUCAGUAGGCACUUCCUCUUGGACUUCCCAGCCUCCAGAACUGUGAGAAAUAUAUGUUGUUUAAGCCACCCAUAAAAAAUAUGGUAUUUUUGUUAUAGCAGCCCCAGCUAACUAAAUAAAAUAGUAUAGAAUAAGUAGUGAUAAGUAAUAGUAAUAGAAAAUAAAAAGUAUGAAGAGAUUCUAAGUGGAAUUUCCAAUUAGUAGAGUUUACUCUUACGUAACUAUUUUGUGAAUUGCCUGAUAUUAAGGAUGCACGUAGAAUUUUUGAGUUGCCAGACUAUAUUACUUAUUUUUAAAAUUUUAAUUCCAGGAUAGGUAUCUUACAGUGUUAUAGAAGUUUCAGAUGUACAGUAUAGUGAUUCAACAAUUCUAUACAUAACUCAGUGCUUAUCAGAUGAGUGUACUCUUAAUCCCCUUCACCUCUUUCACCUACCCUUCCACCCACCUACCUUCUGGUAACCAUCAGUUUGUUCUCUAUAGUUAAGAAUGUUUUUUGGGGCAGCCCGGGUGGCUCAGCGGUUGAGCACCUGCCUUCAGCCCAGGGUCUGAUCCUGGAGACCCGGGAUUGAGUCCCACAUCGGGCUCCCUGCAUGGAGUCUGCUUCUCCCUCUGCCUGUGUCUCUGCCUCUCUCUCUCUCUGUGUCUCUCAUGAAUAAAUAAAAUAUUUAAAAAAUAAUAAUAUUAAAAAAAGAAUUUUUUUGAUUUGUCUCUUUUUUCCUCUGUUUCUUAAAUUCCACAUAUGAGUGAAAUCAUAUGGUAUUUGUCUUUUUUCUGACUGACUUAUUUUACUUAGCGUUAUACUUUCUAAUCCAUCCAUGUUGUUGCGAACAGAUUACUAUUUAAAUAAUAAUUGUAAAAAUUGCCUUUACAAAUAAAUUGUUGGGUUUAAUAAAUCAUUAUUCAAAUAUUUAUAUUCUACGUUUGAAUACCAACUCAUUGAGUUAUAGUAUCUUUCUGUAAUUUAAAAGGAAGAAAUUGACAUUUAAAAUUUUUUAUAGGAACCUAAUUUGAAAAAGAUUUUUAAAUAGUUAAAUUGAGGGAUGCCUGGGUGGCUCAGCUGUUAAAGGUCUGCCUUUGACUCAGGGCAUGGUUCUAGAGUUCAAGGAUUGAGUCCCACGUCGGGCUCCCUGCAUGGAUCCUGCUUCUCCCUCUGCCUAUGUCUCUGCCUCUCUCUCUCUGUAUCUCUUAUGAAUAAAUAAAAUCUUAAAAAAAAAAAAAAA